rnacentral:sRNA from 1 species
GCCGGGUGUGAUGGCUCACACCUAUAAUCCCUGCACUUUGGGAGGCCGAGGCAGGAGGAUCACUUGAGGUCAGGAGUUCGAGACCAGCCUGGCCAACAUGGUGAAACCCCGUCUCUACUAACAAUGCAAAAAUUAGCUGAGCAUGGUGGCUCAUGCCUGUAAUCCCAGCUACUCUGGAGACUGAGGCAGGAGAAUCACUUGAACCUGGGAGGUGGAGGUUGCAGUGAGCUGAGAUCAUGCCACUGUACUCUAGCCUGGGCAACAGAGUGAGACUCUGUCUCU